rnacentral:tRNA from 1 species
GAGGAUGUAGCUCAAUGGUAGAGUUUUUGCCUGUCAUGCAUGAGGCCUUGGGUUUGAUCCCCAGCACUACCA